CCUACGGGAGGCAGCAGUGGGGGAUAUUGCACAAUGGGGGAAACCCUGAUGCAGCGACGCCGCGUGUGGGAAGACGGUCCUCUGGAUUGUAAACCACUGUCCCCAGGGACGAAAAUGACGGUACCUGGGGAGGAAGCUCCGGCUAACUACGUGCCAGCAGCCGCGGUAAUACGUAGGGAGCGAGCGUUGUCGGGAAUUACUGGGUGAAAGGGGAGCGUAGGCGGGGAUGCAAGUUGGGUGUCAAAACUACCGGCUAAACUGGUAGUCGCACUCAAAACUGCAGCUCUUGAGUGAAGUAGAGGCAGGCGGAAUUCCUGGUGUAGCGGUGAAAUGCGUAGAUAUUAGGAGGAACACCAGUGGCGAAGGCGGCCUGCUGGGCUUUUACUGACGCUGAGGCUCGAAAGUGUGGGGAGCAAACAGGAUUAGAUACCCCAGUAGUC
rnacentral:rRNA from 1 species